AUACGUAGGGGGCUAGCGUUAUCCGGAAUUACUGGGCGUAAAGGGUGCGUAGGUGGUUUCUUAAGUCAGAAGUGAAAGGCUACGGCUCGACCGUAGUAAGCUUUUGAAACUAAGAGACUUGAGUGCAGGAGAGGAGAGUAGAAUUCCUAGUGUAGCGGUGAACUGCGUAGAUAUUAGGAGGAAUACCAGUUGCGAAGGCGGCUCUCUGGACUGUAACUGACACUGAGGCACGAAAGCGUGGGGAGCAAACAGGAUUAGAUACCCUGGUAGUCCACGCCGUAAACGAUGAGUACUAGCUGUCGGGGGUUACCCCCCUCGGUGGCGCAGCUAACGCAUUAAGUACUCCGCCUGGGGCGUACGCCGGCAACGGUGAAACUCAAAUGAAUUGACGGGG
rnacentral:rRNA from 1 species